rfam:Lichtheimia corymbifera JMRC:FST:9682, FST 9682, WGS project CBTN01000000 data, contig: SCAF00002
AUACUUACCUGAGUCGUGUGUCUGGUGAUCAAGGAGGCUGGGCACACAGGCGAGAUGGCCUACCAUUGCACUCCCGGUGGCCGCUUGUCUGCGAACAUCCUUCGGGGUGUCUCGAGGCUACAAUUUUUGCUUUGGGGAAGAGUUUGGUUCGCUGAACUAUUCCCC